rnacentral:rRNA from 1 species
UACGUAGGGGGCUAGCGUUGUCCGGAAUCAUUGGGCGUAAAGAGCGUGUAGGCGGCUCGGUAAGUCUGCUGUGAAAGUCCAAGGCUCAACCUUGGAAAGCCGGUGGAUACUGUCGAGCUCGAGUCCGGAAGAGGCGAGUGGAAUUCCUGGUGUAGCGGUGAAAUGCGCAGAUAUCAGGAGGAACACCAAUGGCGAAGGCAGCUCGCUGGGACGGUACUGACGCUGAGACGCGAAAGCGUGGGGAGCAAACAGG